AACGAACGCUGGCGGUAUGCUUAACACAUGCAAGUCGAACGAACAAAAUUGGAGCUUGCUCCAAUUUUAGUGAGUGGCAAACGGGUGAGUAACACGUGGGAAUCUACCUAUCAGUACGGAAUAACAUUUGGAAACAGAUGCUAAUACCGUAUAUUCUCUAAAGAGGAAAGAUUUAUCGCUGAUAGAUGAGCCCGCGUAAGAUUAGGUAGUUGGUAGGGUAAUAGCCUACCAAGCCGACGAUCUUUAGCUGGUCUGAGAGGAUGAUCAGCCACACUGGGACUGAGACACGGCCCAGACUCCUACGGGAGGCAGCAGUGGGGAAUAUUGGACAAUGGGCGAAAGCCUGAUCCAGCAAUACCGCGUGAAUGAUGAAGGCCUUAGGGUUGUAAAAUUCUUUUAGUUGGAAAGAUAAUGACGGUACCAACAGAAAAAGCCCCGGCUAACUCCGUGCCAGCCGCCGCUGUAA
rnacentral:rRNA from 1 species